rnacentral:tRNA from 1 species
GCCGGGGUGGCGGAAUGGCAGACGCACGGGACUUAAAAUCCCGGGGGGCAUAAGCUCCGUGAGGGUUCGAAUCCCUCUCCCGGCACCA